rnacentral:lncRNA from 1 species
AUGGGUGGGGGGGUUCAAAGCAGUAUUAUGAUUUCUAAAUAUAUAUAUAUUUUUUUCAAGGUGAAAAAGGCAGUGAAGCAGCUUCAAAUGGUUAUGCUCCAAUACAGAGAGCGUUUCAUUUUUUGUUCAGUCAGUAAACGCAUAAAUCCAGUACAUGGACUGAGCUGCAGGAAGGCAGAGGGGGCACAUGACCAUCUUCUGCUCAAAGGUGGCAGCACCUCCGUCCCAUGGGCUGCAGCCCCCCCAGGGUCCCCAGUUCUGCAAACCCCCAAGAACUGCAGCUACAGAGGUGCAAUCAGAGCUGGAACUGCAGCAUGGACAUGUAUGAGAGAGAGCAGCCAACGAGGGUUUGGUCCCCGUCCAUAUCAGAACUCUCCAUCGGUUUUGUUGGUGGACUCCAAUUCUACCUUUGCUUCCUAUCACAAGGUUUGCCUACCUGGGGACAUCAGGGAAGGUUCAUCUGCCUUCACUUUGAAAGUGGAUAAAUUAAACCACAUUAAAAGCGCUUACGGAGAAUUAAAACCGCUUUAAUGUGGUUUUGUUUAAUUUACUUUGAGAGCGCGCUGGACUAGAUUAAAUUAAAACCAUUUUAAUUCCGAAAUCUGAAUCAUGAGUUUAACGGGCUUUAACUGAUCGACUUCAAAUUCAUCCUUUUAAUUAAUUUGAGUUAAUUUUCCCCGAGCGGCUCCAGGUCAGCAAGGCUGGGUAGCAAUAAGGAAACCACAAAGACACGGCUGGGCGCUGCGGAACCGCGGUCGCUAUCGGAGAGGAUUUAAUGGAGAGGCACCACCGGUGGUCUUCCACCACUUACUCCCUAUUUUCCCAUCGUCAUCUUCAUCACGGAGACUUUUGGCUGAACUUGAGGUGUUUUCCCCCGUUUUGGCAGAUUUCCAUUGCUCGUUGGGCUGCCAUGAGCAGCUUUUUUUUUAUCUUCGUGCGCUUUAACCCAAAGCAACGCGUGAGAAACGCCUGCAUCACCUGGAGGAGCACGAAGAUAACAUUUCUGAUGGCCAGUGUAAGAAUUAAUUGUCGUCUGAUUGGUUCUUUGGGGGUGAUAAAACAACUGGAUAACAAUUAAGGAUGAUGAUAACCCCAUUUACCUCAGUGCUGGUUAUCUCUCUGUGCAAUUUCUCGGUGUUCCAGGUAGAGUUUAACAUUGGAACAAAGGGCAGAAAACCAAAGAUUAUUCUCUGCUCUGCUCUGCUUUUCCCAGAUGGAUGGAAACCUCUGGGACAGGAAAACUGAGGCUGGGAAAACCCCUUACCCCUGGGAAUUAGUCACAAGGGCCCUGUUUGGGUUGAAGGCAGUGUUAGCAAGUGCAUGUACAUGUAGCAUGGAAUGCAUUCGUGGGACUGGGAAGCAGCAUGCAGAGGAGCAGUGCUGUUAUUUCCUGAUUUUGAAGAAGGAGAUAUGGGUUCCACCAGUAGCAGUGUAAGAGCAAACAUGUAGAGGAAACUGACCCCUCCAUUGCUCGCUCCCAUUCCCCUCUUGGCACUGUUUGCUCUCUUGUGACCUCAUAACUUGCAAUGAGGAGCUGCCCAGGGAAGGGUCCCCAUCCCUGGAGAUGUUCCAGAACCACAUGGCACCGAGGGAUGUGGUCAGUGGGAUGGGUUGAGGUUGGACAUAGGGAUCUGAGAGGGCUUUUCCCACCUUAAGGAUUCUACAAAAACCAGCACGGUGCCAGGUCUCACCCAGCUGGCACCCUUCCUCUGCCUCCUGCCCCUCCUCAUCCUCCUGCUCAGAGGUAUUUGCUCAACACGUGGCUCACAGCGACCUUUGUUUAGGUGUCCCAGUCCUCCCCAUCUCAGUCCUUUUGUCAAUCUCCACGUUCUUCCUUUGCCUAAUUUGGAUGACAAGGCCUUCCAGGCAGGAACAGCAUCCUCCUUAAUCUCUCUAAAAUGCCAGCCACAAGUUACAAUGCUAGAUAAAUAUUUAAUGAUAAUAAUUGAACUCAGCAGGAACAAUACUCAGCCACACUUGCGUUUUCUAAGCCCUUUCAGACACGGGCUAAUUAAUUAAUUGCGAAUUUACAAACAAGAUAAUUAGAGGAUGCCCCAGCUGAGCAAGAAAACAUGCUGAAAGCAGCACAGGGCUGUUGGAGGGAUCACCAUAAAUCACAGAGGGGAACGUUGUGAACGUUGCACCCUGCUCCCAGAGCUGCACGGAGGAGGAGGUCUGAGGACAUUUGGUUCACAGAACAGAAUCCAGUUCACCAUCCUACCCCCCUCCUGCGUGUAAUUGCAUCACUCCUCCUCCCUCCCCUAAGGGAGAGUCAAUUAAAAUAGUUGGGUUUGAUUUUUUUUUUCUUUUUUUUUCUUUCUUUUCUUCUUUGAAAGGCAGCUCGUGCUCUUGAUUUGCUGUAAAAGUUGUCUGAUUUGGAACAGCAGAAAUGAGCUCCUUUCAUCAGAGCAGCUCCCGGAGCCCCAUCCAGGUCUGCCAUGCUGGGAUCCUCAUGGAGGAGCUCCCUGGGCCACGUGGAUGGUGGGGAGCAGCUAAACCACCACCAGAAAUCCCAUCUUCUCAUUGCAAUGCCUUUUCUUCUUCAUUCAGUGCUUUCAACCCAUUCAGUUCUUACCUCUUUAUUUCUCAGACUUCUCCCAUGGGAAAGCUUGGGUUGGAUGCUCCCAAACUAGAUGGGAAACUUUCUGCUUUGGGAGCAGCCAUGCUCAUCCCCUUUCCACAGCCUCUCCAACCGAAAGUGUUGAAAAUUCAGCCCCCAGCAAUUGCUGCACCAUUUAAACCAAACCCUCUCCACCAAUUUAUUAGCAAAUAAAAGAAACAAAAGCAGCUCUCGCUGAGCUUUG